rnacentral:rRNA from 1 species
CCUACGGGGGGCAGCAGUGAGGAAUAUUGGUCAAUGGACGAGAGUCUGAACCAGCCAAGUAGCGUGAAGGAUGACUGCCCUAUGGGUUGUAAACUUCUUUUAUAAAGGAAUAAAACGAGGCACGUGUGCCUUUUUGCAUGUACUUUAUGAAUAAGGAUCGGCUAACUCCGUGCCAGCAGCCGCGGUAAUACGGAGGAUCCGAGCGUUAUCCUGAUUGAUUGGGGUUAAAGGGAGCGUAGAUGGGGUGUUAAGUCAGUUGUGAAAGUUUUCGGCUAAACCGUAAAAUUGCAAUUGAUACUGGCAGUCUUGAGUACAGUUGAGGUAGGCGGAAUUCGUGGUGUAGCGGUGAAAUGCUUAGAUAUCACGAAGAACCCCGAUUGCGAAGGCAGCUUACUAAACUGUGACUGACAUUGAUGCUCGAAAGUGUGGGUAUCAAACAGGAUUAGAUACCCGUGUAGUC